GUCUUCCUUAAAGUACCUUCCCAGGCAGAUUAACUUUCAGUAAAAGUGCCAUGCGUUGUAAAUCGAAGCAAUAUUGCUGGUAGAAAAGUUGUCCACAGAAAAAAAAAAAAUCUUAAUACUUCACUUUUUAUUGGGAAAAAUUACCUUCCUAAAGUACUACCCCAAGAAAAUUUCCUUUUAGAAAAUGUUCUACGUCGUAUACAUCGGAGUAAGCUUU